UACGUAGGCAGCGAGCGUUGUUCGGAGUUACUGGGCGUAAAGAGCGUGUAGGCGGCCACUUAAGUCCUGCGUGAAAUCUUGCGGCUCAACCGCAAGCGGUCGUGGGAAACUGGGUGGCUAGAGUGCGGGAGAGGAGAGUGGAAUUCCUGGUGUAGCGGUGGAAUGCGCAGAUAUCAGGAAGAACACCCGUGGUGAAGGCGGCUCUCUGGAACGCAACUGACGCUGAGACGCGAAAGCGUGGGGAGCAAACAGG
rnacentral:rRNA from 1 species